rnacentral:rRNA from 1 species
AUUGAACGCUGGCGGCAUGCCUUACACAUGCAAGUCGAACGGUAACAGGUCUUCGGAUGCUGACGAGUGGCGAACGGGUGAGUAAUACAUCGGAACGUGCCUAGUAGUGGGGGAUAACUACUCGAAAGAGUGGCUAAUACCGCAUGAGAUCUACGGAUGAAAGCAGGGGAUCGCAAGACCUUGUGCUACUAGAGCGGCCGAUGGCAGAUUAGGUAGUUGGUGGGAUAAAAGCUUACCAAGCCGACGAUCUGUAGCUGGUCUGAGAGGACGAUCAGCCACACUGGGACUGCGACACGGCCCAGACUCCUACGGAAGGCAGCAGUGGGGAAUUUUGGACAAUGGGCGAAAGCCUGAUCCAGCAAUGCCGCGUGCAGGAUGAAGGCCUUCGGGUUGUAAACUGCUUUUGUACGGAACGAAAAGCCCCGGGUUAAUACCCUGGGGUCAUGACGGUACCGUAAGAAUAAGCACCGGCUAACUACGUGCCAGCCGCCGCAGUAA